rnacentral:rRNA from 1 species
UACAGAGGUCCCAAGCGUUACUGAGAAUCACUGGGUUUAAAGGGUGCGUAGGUGGUCCGUUAAGUCAGUUGUGAAAUCCCCGGGCUCAACCCGGGAACUGCUUCUGAUACUGGCGGACUUGAGGCCAGUAGGGGUCACUAGAACUGACGGUGGAGCGGUGAAAUGCGUAGAUAUCGUCAGGAAUGCCGGUGGUGAAGACGGGUGACUGGGCUGGUUCUGACACUAAGGCACGAAAGCGUGGGGAGCGAACGGG